UGAUCAUGUUUCAGAUCAAAACUUUCGUAUGCCUACAUGGCGCCAUUCUAUUGUAAAUUAACACUUCUAAUUGCCCAACACUAACGAGACCCCUCACAAUUAACUAGUGUUACAAGGAUAAACUACUCAAAUACACCCCACUUCAAUACAACUACCUGAUACCGUUGCUUGUGCCUGUUAUCAAAUUAUUAUUAUUUUAUCCGACAGCAAAUAUGAAAAAUUGAGGAUACAUACAGCAUAUCUUAAGACUACAUGCCAUUUCUAUAUUUUCUAUCCACUCAAUUCGAAAUUCUUCUACUUGAUUGUGAUGUAGCGAUUAGUCCCAUGCUU
rnacentral:misc_RNA from 1 species